AUCCAGUUGAACAAGGCACCUAAGAUGUGCCUACAAACCUACAGAGCUCAUGGCCGGAUUAACCCAUACAUGAGCUCCCCCAGCCACACUGAGAUGAUCCUCACUGAGAAGGAACAGAUCGUUCCAAAGCCAGAAGAGGAGGUUGCACAGAAGAAAAAGAUAUCCCAGAAGAAAUUGAAGAAACAAAAACUCACGGCACAGGAAUGA
rnacentral:lncRNA from 1 species